GGGUUGUGAGGUUAAGCGACUAAGCGUACACGGUGGAUGCCCUGGCAGUCAGAGGCGAUGAAGGACGUGCUAAUCUGCGAAAAGCGCCGGCGAGGUGAUAUGAACCUUUGACCCGGCGAUGUCCGAAUGGGGAAACCCAGUGCAAUCCGUUGCACUAUCGUUAACUGAAUACAUAGGUUAACGAGGCGAACCGGGGGAACUGAAACAUCUAAGUACCCCGAGGAAAAGAAAUCAACCGAGAUUCCCCCAGUAGCGGCGAGCGAACGGGGAGCAGCCCGGAGUCUGAAUCAGCUUGUGUGUUAGUGGAACGGUCUGGAAAGUCCGACGGUACAGGGUGAUAGUCCCGUACACGAAAGCACACAUGCUGUGAACUCGAAGAGUAGGGCGGGACACGUGGUAUCCUGUCUGAAUAUGGGGGGACCAUCCUCCAAGGCUAAAUACUCCUGACUGACCGAUAGUGAACCAGUACCGUGAGGGAAAGGCGAAAAGAACCCCGGCGAGGGGAGUGAAAAAGAACCUGAAACCGUGUACGUACAAGCAGUGGGAGCCUCUUUAUGGGGUGACUGCGUACCUUUUGUAUAAUGGGUCAGCGACUUAUAUUCUGUAGCAAGGUUAACCGUAUAGGGGAGCCGAAGGGAAACCGAGUCUUAACUGGGCGUUAAGUUGCAGGGUAUAGACCCGAAACCCGGUGAUCUAGCCAUGGGCAGGUUGAAGGUUGGGUAACACUAACUGGAGGACCGAACCGACUAAUGUUGAAAAAUUAGCGGAUGACCUGUGGCUGGGGGUGAAAGGCCAAUCAAACCGGGAGAUAGCUGGUUCUCCCCGAAAGCUAUUUAGGUAGCGCCUCGUGAACUCAUCUUCGGGGGUAGAGCACUGUUUCGGCUAGGGGGCCAUCCCGGCUUACCAACCCGAUGCAAACUACGAAUACCGAAGAAUGUUAUCACGGGAGACACACGGCGGGUGCUAACGUCCGUCGUGAAGAGGGAAACAACCCAGACCGCCAGCUAAGGUCCCAAAGUCAUGGUUAAGUGGGAAACGAUGUGGGAAGGCACAGACAGCCAGGAUGUUGGCUUAGAAGCAGCCAUCAUUUAAAGAAAGCGUAAUAGCUCACUGGUCGAGUCGGCCUGCGCGGAAGAUGUAACGGGGCUAAACCAUGCACCGAAGCUGCGGCAGCGACACUAUGUGUUGUUGGGUAGGGGAGCGUUCUGUAAGCCGUUGAAGGUGUCCUGUGAGGGGUGCUGGAGGUAUCAGAAGUGCGAAUGCUGACAUAAGUAACGAUAAAGCGGGUGAAAAGCCCGCUCGCCGGAAGACCAAGGGUUCCUGUCCAACGUUAAUCGGGGCAGGGUGAGUCGACCCCUAAGGCGAGGCCGAAAGGCGUAGUCGAUGGGAAACAGGUUAAUAUUCCUGUACUUGGUGUUACUGCGAAGGGGGGACGGAGAAGGCUAUGUCAGCCGGGCGACGGUUGUCCCGGUUUAAGCAUGUAGGCGGAGGUUCCAGGUAAAUCCGGUACCUUAUUAACGCUGAGGUGUGAUGACGAGGCACUACGGUGCUGAAGUGAUAAAUGCCCUGCUUCCAGGAAAAGCCUCUAAGCAUCAGGUAACACGAAAUCGUACCCCAAACCGACACAGGUGGUCAGGUAGAGAAUACCAAGGCGCUUGAGAGAACUCGGGUGAAGGAACUAGGCAAAAUGGUGCCGUAACUUCGGGAGAAGGCACGCUGAUGUGUAGGUGAAGUCCCUGCGGACGGAGCUGAAAUCAGUCGAAGAUACCAGCUGGCUGCAACUGUUUAUUAAAAACACAGCACUGUGCAAACACGAAAGUGGACGUAUACGGUGUGACGCCUGCCCGGUGCCGGAAGGUUAAUUGAUGGGGUUAGCGGCAACGCGAAGCUCUUGAUCGAAGCCCCGGUAAACGGCGGCCGUAACUAUAACGGUCCUAAGGUAGCGAAAUUCCUUGUCGGGUAAGUUCCGACCUGCACGAAUGGCGUAAUGAUGGCCAGGCUGUCUCCACCCGAGACUCAGUGAAAUUGAACUCGCUGUGAAGAUGCAGUGUACCCGCGGCAAGACGGAAAGACCCCGUGAACCUUUACUAUAGCUUGACACUGAACACUGGUCCUUGAUGUGUAGGAUAGGUGGGAGGCUUUGAAGCGUGGACGCCAGUCUGCGUGGAGCCAACCUUGAAAUACCACCCUUUAAUGGCUGGUGUUCUAACGUAGACCCGUAAUCCGGGUUGCGGACAGUGUCUGGUGGGUAGUUUGACUGGGGCGGUCUCCUCCCAAAGAGUAACGGAGGAGCACGAAGGUUGGCUAAUCCUGGUCGGACAUCAGGAGGUUAGUGCAAUGGCAUAAGCCAGCUUGACUGCGAGCGUGACGGCGCGAGCAGGUGCGAAAGCAGGUCAUAGUGAUCCGGUGGUUCUGAAUGGAAGGGCCAUCGCUCAACGGAUAAAAGGUACUCCGGGGAUAACAGGCUGAUACCGCCCAAGAGUUCAUAUCGACGGCGGUGUUUGGCACCUCGAUGUCGGCUCAUCACAUCCUGGGGCUGAAGUAGGUCCCAAGGGUAUGGCUGUUCGCCAUUUAAAGUGGUACGCGAGCUGGGUUUAGAACGUCGUGAGACAGUUCGGUCCCUAUCUGCCGUGGGCGCUGGAGAAUUGAGGGGGGCUGCUCCUAGUACGAGAGGACCGGAGUGGACGCAUCACUGGUGUUCGGGUUGUCAUGCCAAUGGCACUGCCCGGUAGCUAAAUGCGGAAGAGAUAAGUGCUGAAAGCAUCUAAGCACGAAACUUGCCCCGAGAUGAGUUCUCCCUGAGACCUUGAGUCUCCUGAAGGAACGUUGAAGACGACGACGUUGAUAGGUCGGGUGUGUAAGCGCAGCGAUGCGUUGAGCUAACCGAUACUAAUGAACCGUGAGGCUUAACCUUACAACGCCGAAGGUGUUU
rnacentral:rRNA from 1 species